GAUGAACGCUAGCGGGAGGCCUAACACAUGCAAGCCGAGCGGUAUUGUUUCUUCGGAAAUGAGAGAGCGGCGUACGGGUGCGGAACACGUGUGCAACCUGCCUUUAUCUGGGGGAUAGCCUUUCGAAGGGAAGAUUAAUACUCCAUAAUAUAUUGAACGGCAUCGUUUAAUAUUGAAAGCUUCGGCGGAUAGAGAUGGGCACGCGCAAGAUUAGCUAGUUGGUGAGGUAACGGCUCACCAAGGCGAUGAUCUUUAGGGGGCCUGAGAGGGUGAUCCCCCACACUGGUACUGAGACACGGACCAGACUCCUACGGGAGGCAGCAGUGAGGAAUAUUGGUCAAUGGGUGCAAGCCUGAACCAGCCAUCCCGCGUGAAGGACGACUGCCCUAUGGGUUGUAAACUUCUUUUGUAUAGGGAUAAACCUACCCUCGUGAGGGUAGCUGAAGGUACUAUACGAAUAAGCACCGGCUAACUUCGUGCCAGCAGCCGCGGUAA
rnacentral:rRNA from 1 species